UUACAAUUAAUGUAACUUUAUACAGUGUAUACUGUAAAUAUGAUUAAUUAGGAUCCUUUCCUUUUUCACAGGAAAUUAUUUUGGUGACACAAUACAACCAUGGUUUCCAUAAAAACUUGAUUCUGAGGGUGAAAAUGUGACUCUUUCAUGUAACUAUAGUCUCAAUAGCAGCACUAGUGUUAUUAUCCUGUGGUAUCACCAGUAUCCUCAAGCACAACAGAGUUUUUACUUCUCAUCACUGAAUAUUCAAGAAAUUCUGAGCCCGAAAUAUGUCUACAUUCAGAAGCUCAAAAAGAAAUCAAACGAGUGGAUCUGAUGAUCUUCUUGGCUGCUGUAUCAGAUCGCAGGAAACUCAAUAAUCUCUGCAAUAAAUAAAUAAAUAAUAAAAAAAAUAACUUUCACUAUCUUUUCUAGUGAAAAAGAAAGAUACACUUAGACAAAGACUAAGAGAACAACUGUAUAAAAAAAAAAAAAUAUAUAUAUAUAUAUAUAAACUAUGGAUGCAAAACUGCAAAUAAACAAAAAAAAGCUUAUAUUCUUAACAUGAAAUCCACACAAAAGUAGCCUAAAGUUUAUGUUUAGUGGAUUAUCAUGUGUUAUACAGUGUGCUGGUAUAAUGUUCCACUAGAUGACAGUGUUCUCAGAGAUUCACUGGGAACUACAGCAAUGAAGAACAGAAUUGAAAUCACAAAACUGAAGGAGGGACUCAGUGUUCACAGACCUGACAUGAUCUAAUUCUGUCUGACAGAGACUGUGGUCACUUGUACAAUGAAUCUUCAUUCAGUUUUUCUGUUCUGUGUCUUAGCAGGUGCUGUCUUUGGAAAUAUCAAACCAAACAAAACAACUGUUUAUGAGGAGGGUUCAAAUAUUAUAUUAAUUUGUAGUCAUUACCCUGGAAGUUCAGAUUAUCUCCACUGGUACCGUCAGUAUGAAAGAUCAAAACCUGAAUUUCUUGUACUCACCUACGGUAAUUCAAAAGAACCGGCGGUGUCUGCUGUAGAUUCAAGAUUCACUGUUAAAGUUGAAAAAUGGCAACGAAACCAUGCGGAUCUGAAGAUCUCUUCUGCUGCUGUAUCAGACUCUGCUCUGUACUACUGUGCUCUAAGGCCCACAGUCACAGGAAACACAUCAGCUCUCUACAAAAACCUGUGAGAGACAAAAGAGAGAAACAUGGAGACAGAGAUGAAGACAGAGAAUGAGGCUGUUUUAGAGAACUGUUUUAUACUGUAUACAGUAUACUCUAUUAUAUGUAAAAACAUAAAAAAAAAUAAAAAAUAAAAUAAAUAAAUAAAAAAACAACAACUAAUGGAAACAGUAAAAAUAGAUCACAGUCAGUGAUUAAAAUCUAAAUCUACAUAAUGGAUAUAUACAAACCUAGCUCGACCAUAGUUAAAAAGUCAAUAUUCCAUAUUCAUGAGACGUGACUUACAGCUCAGAGCACUGAGAGCCUCAACAGAGAACUGAACUGAUCUGAUUGAACAUGGACAGAUGCUUCAUACUGAUUCUCAUUGUAGGAACAGCUAUUAUUCAAAUUAAACAGUUUAUUUAAAUGUUCUAGGUGUAUUUUCUUUUUUUUCCCCUGGUAAGUUCUGUCAAAUGUGUUUCAUUUAUUUUGUAAACUAUGCUAACACAAUCGGAAAUCAGAUUAUUUUGCUUAUUUUUUGAAAAACUUGUUGGCUGGAGACAACAUUGAGUCAGAUAAAGGGACAGAAAAACCUCUCAAGAAACAGAAACUGUCAAGCUGAGCUGCUCAUAUAGUACAAAUAGUGCUUAUGUUUGUCUUUACUGGUACAGACAGUAUCUCAACACAGAACCACAAUAUUUAUUAUGCAAGGGUGCACAAGUUAUGAAGAUACCUCUGAUGAUUAGUUUGAAUUCAAUGCCCAGAUAUACAGAAUAUUAGACAUGUCAUAAAAAAACCUUAAGCCUUUUCACUAUGACUAGACUAAGGAUAUUACAAUAUGACAAAACAUUAAUAUAGUUUACAUAAUCAACACCACUAUUUUUGAACACGGAACUAACAAGUAAUCAUUCUGCUCACAUAUAAUCCAAGCAUCUCACUAAAUGCAAAAGCCUGUGUUUGCUACAUUCAUAAGUGGCCAUCCCUUGUAAUUAAAUGGUGUUGAUAUUCCAGUAAUUUAUGUGUGGACAAAUCAAAGCCAU
ensembl:lncRNA